rnacentral:lncRNA from 1 species
GCACUAAAGACAUUGUUUUAUUCUAAUUAUAAUAAUAUACAAUAUAUAAUUAUUAAUAUAAUAUACAUUAAACACACAUCCAUUAAAUACCUUGAUAUAAUAAUUGAUCAAAAUUUAAAAUGGAAUAUUCUCAUAGAAAAUAUAAUAAAUAAAUUGAGACAACUAACUUACUUUUUCCUAACAGCUAAAAAAAUAUUAAGCAAAAACUACCUUAGAAUAACAUACUUUGCAAUGGUCAAUCUUCACUACAAUACCGAAUAAUCGCUUGGGGUGGGUGCAGUACUACAUUAAAAUAUAAUUUAACGAUGCCACAAAAGAAUAUAAUAAAAAUUAUCUUAAAUAAACCAAAAACUUUCCCUUCAAAAGAGCUAUUCAAACUAUUUCGAAUACUAGAAAUAGAAAAACUUUACAAUAAGCAAGCGAUAUGUUUUAUUUAUAAAACUAAAGCUUUUACAAUUAAAAACAAUCCCCAUAAUCUUAGAAAAAAAUAUUUCGAAAUUCCAUUUAUGAACAUUGCAGAUGUAAUAGGUAAAUGUUUAAAUUAUUCGCAUUUUACACUUAAACUAAAAAAUUGGUUUUAUGAUAAUCUGUAAAAAAAUAUUGUUAAUUCUAGUCUAUUAUUUAUGUGAAGUUGUACUUAAAAACAUUCAUUAAAUAGCUUAUCUAUUAAAAAUUCUAAAUAUUAAUUAACUAAAUAAUAUUUUAUAUAAUCAUAAUUGUUACUAUACUCUUAAUUUUCAUUGUAUUUCUUAUUUAUCAAUAUCAAAUUGUGAAUUUCUUUUUUGGUUUUUUUUCCUUUUUUUUUAAUUUUGUCAUUUAGAUUGUAUUCUAAUUUUAAUUUUUUUUUUUUUUGUUUCUUAUUAUAUAUGUUACUUUUUUCUUUCUUUUUUUUUUUUUAAAUAUUUAAAAUAACAUCAAGAUAAGUAUUCUUGCUCUACGAUAAGAGGUUUUACCUCAGUGUAGAGCAAAGCUAGUAACUACAUAUAUUGAUCCAUUAUAUUUUGUACACAUUUUCUUUUACUAGCAAAUAAAAAAAAUUGAAAUAAAAAAUAUAUUAAAAACACGAUAAAUUCUAGUGUUUAGUGUUUNUUUAUAAAUCCCAAACCAAAACCGAGUAUCCGUGACAAGUCUGAGCCAAGAGGAAAAUUGAUAAUUUUCAAGUGGAUAAAAAAUUGAGAGAAUCCCAAUAUAACUAGGAAACAAGAUUACAAUAUCCGUGAUACCAACCGGUGAUAAGGUUACAGUCAUAUUGUAAAACCAUGGUUGUACCAUAAAAUUUUAAUUUUUUUUGCAAUUCAAAAAUCAAGUAGAUAAAUCAUUAACAGCGGUUGUAUCUAAUACGUGAUUUGUAUUUUUUUUUUUAAAUAUUUUUUUUUUUUACAGCAAUAACACAAGUAUGAUUAGGUACGUACGUCGUUUUUGAGACGUUUUUUCGUCAUUUUUUUUUUUAACAUUAUGCAGACAACAUGCUGCACAUCCUGCAUUUCGGCACCACAUCAUCAUAUAAUUUGUUCAUUUUUUUUUCUAAAUACAACUGUUACAUAGUACAUCAUAACGCAACUGUGGCCGUCCCUACCAUACAGGUUGUUUUUUUUUUUUUUCUAAAUAAGGUAAGUACACCAUUUUGUGGACUAUACUGACCGGGGACAGGAGCCGGGGCCGCACGUCGGCGGACCACGGGCAGAUACGCGCAAAACGUACGCCCGCGAAAUAUCCAGCGACGUACGUAACAAAAGACACGGAAAAAUAUUGCCGCGGCCGGUCGCGCCAUGGUGAAGAAAAAAACACAUGCAUCGGCCGGAAUACCGAUUUUCGGCUAUUUGGUUAGAUUUACGUUACCGUCCGUUACGGACAGGUAACCGAACCGAAUGACAUGUGCGGACACAACGUCUUACAGGUACAUCACGGGCAACCUCGCGCCGGUUUUACAGGACCGCUACGGGGUUACCUGACCGGGGGAGGGGCCGGGCUUCGUUCGUUGACGGGCCGCGGACAAUUACGCGCGAAAAUUACACCGGCAAAAUGUCGGGCGACGUACGCAUCGAGAGAUGCGGAAACGCAAACGUUGA